AGGACAUCUCUCUUUCAAG
rnacentral:snRNA from 1 species